rnacentral:rRNA from 1 species
ACGAACGCUGGCGGCGUGCCUAACACAUGCAAGUCAACUUGACUGAAGGAGCAAUCUGACAGUAGAGUGGCGCAAGGGUGCGUAACGCGUAAGUAACUUGCCCCAAGGUAAGGAAUAACGUCGAGAAAUCGGCGCUAAUACCUCAUAAUACAGCGGAUCCGCAUGGAUAUGUUGUUAAAGGUUUACCGCCUUGGGAUAGGCUUGCGUCUGAUUAGCUAGUUGGUGUGGUAACGGCACACCAAGGCUACGAUCAGUAACUGGUCUGAGAGGAUGAUCAGUCACACUGGAACUGAGACACGGUCCAGACUCCUACGGGAGGCAGCAGUGAGGAAUAUUGGGCAAUGCUCGAAAGAGUGACCCAGCAACGCCGCGUGGAGGAUGAAGGUAUUCUAUAUCGUAAACUCCUGUGAGAGCAGACGAAAGACAGAUUAUUAAUCUGGAUGACUGUAUGCUCAGAGGAAGCCCCGGCUAACUACGUG